CCUGCAAAGCAGCAUCGCGGUGGCGGAGCGUCGUUUGCGACGCCCAACACACAAAACAAGCGGUGAAUGCUUUGGGGUGGGGUGACUGCGUACCUUUUGUAUAAUGGGUCAGCGACUUAUAUUCUGUAGCAAGGUUAACCGAAUAGGGGAGCCGGAGGGAAACCGAGUCUUAAUUGGGCGUUAAGUUGCAGGGUAUAGACCCGAAACCCGGUGAUCUAGCCAUGGGCAGGUUGAAGGUUGGGUAACACUAACUGGAGGACCGAACCGACUAAUGUUGAAAAAUUAGCGGAUGACCUGUGGCUGGGGGUGAAAGGCCAAUCAAACCGGGAGAUAGCUGGUUCUCCCCGAAAGCUAUUUAGGUAGCGCCUCGUGAAUUCAUCUCCGGGGGUAGAGCACUGUUUCGGCUAGGGGGCCAUCCCGGCUUACCAACCCGAUGCAAACUGCGAAUACCGGAGAAUGUUAUCACGGGAGACACACGGCGGGUGCUAACGUCCGUCGUGAAGAGGGAAACAACCCAGACCGCCAGCUAAGGUCCCAAAGUCAUGGUUAAGUGGGAAACGAUGUGGGAAGGCCCAGACAGCCAGGAUGUUGGCUUAGAAGCAGCCAUCAUUUAAAGAAAGCGUAAUAGCUCACUGGUCGAGUCGGCCUGCGCGGAAGAUGUAACGGGGCUAAACCAU
rnacentral:rRNA from 1 species